AGUCCGACUGUUGUUGGUGAGAAGUUGAGAAAGUAGGAUAUAGAGGGGAAAUUAAUUUUUAACUAUAAGCCACGAUAAACCAUUGCUUACCAAAAACGAUUCUGAGCGGAGAUCUGUUAAUAGUGAUGCUUUGUCAACAAUAUAUAUGUCAUAUUAUGGUAGAAUCAUUAAAUAGGCAUUAUACAUUUCGUUUAAUAAUAUUUGUUUAAUAUUGUACCGAAUUUCCCGUUUUUCCUACGUUUUUCACAUUCGCUCUUGGGAAUAUCGAACGAUUUUCUUUUGGACAAAGGUCUACAUCGUAUACAUUGGAGUAAGCUUCCUGGUAGAAAAAGUGUUCACAUAAAAAAAAGAAAAUAAACAUCAUCCUAGUAAAACCACGCAGAAUCUAAUAAAAAAAUACCGAAAACCCUGUGCUAGUCUCUUUAACGAUUGGGUUUCUUUAUUUAUAAAAACAUUUUCAAUCUGUAAUUAGUUCAUUACAAUAAGUAUGUAUGAAAAUAUAGAGGAUUCAAGAGGGCAGAAUCGAGACAUAAAAAGUUGACAACGAUGUUUCUCUUCUUUUGAAUGUCAAACGUGCAAAGUUUCU